AGAACUUAGACAUUAAUAAAAACCGGCAUACAGCAUUAUGCUGUCAUCACAGAUGGUGACCCUGAAAUCCUGCAUGACUCCAGAUCAGAAACUGUGAAGUAAGCUCAAACAAGCCGUACAAAAGGACACGUGUAGUGUUAUCUGUGAGCUCCAUCCGUCGUCUCCGGUAAUAAAACAUCAGUCAAGAGGUAACAGAAGUUUUCUGUAGAGACGGAUUAUCAGAAGAGGAAAGUCAAGGCAAGGACAAAC